UACGUAGGGUGCAAGCGUUGUCCGGAAUUAUUGGGCGUAAAGAGCUCGUAGGCGGUCUGUCGCGUCGGCUGUGAAAACCCGGAGCUCAACUCCGGGCUUGCAGUCGAUACGGGCAGACUGGAGUUCGGCAGGGGAGACUGGAAUUCCUGGUGUAGCGGUGAAAUGCGCAGAUAUCAGGAGGAACACCGGUGGCGAAGGCGGGUCUCUGGGUAGUAACUGACGCUGAGGAACGAAAGCGUGGGUAGCGAACAGG
rnacentral:rRNA from 1 species